UGGUAGAAUUUCAGGUGUAGCGGUGAAAUGCGUAGAGAUCUGAAGGAAUACCAGUGGCGAAGGCGGCCACCUGGACAAAGACUGACACUGAGGCGCGAAGGCGUGGGGAGCAAACGGGAUUAGAUACCCCGGUAGUCCACGCAGUAAACGAUGUCUAUUAGAAGUUUGUGGCUAUAUGCCGUGGGUUUCAAAGCUAACGCAUUAAAUAGACCGCCUGGGGAGUACGGCCGCAAGGUUAAAACUCAAAUGAAUUGACGGGGGCCCGCACAAGCGGUGGAGCAUGUGGUUUAAUUCGAUGCAACGCGAAGAACCUUACCAUCCCUUGACAUCCAGAGAAUCACCUAGAGAUAGAUGAGUGCCUUCGGGAACUCUGAGACAGGUGCUGCAUGGCUGUCGUCAGCUCGUGUUGUGAAAUGUUGGGUUAAGUCCCGCAACGAGCGCAACCCUUAUCCUUAGUUGCCAGCACGUAAUGGUGGGAACUCUAGGGAGACUGCCGGUGAUAAACCGGAGGAAGGUGGGGACGACGUCAAGUCAUCAUGGCCCUUACGGGAUGGGCUACACACGUGCUACAAUGGCAAAUACAAAGGGUUGCUAACCUGCGAGGGUAUGCGAAUCUCAUAAAGUUUGUCGUAGUCCGGAUCGGAGUCUGCAACUCGACUCCGUGAAGUUGGAAUCGCUAGUAAUCGUGGAUCAGAAUGCCACGGUGAAUACGUUCCCGGGCCUUGUACACACCGCCCGUCACACCAUGGGAGUGGGCUGCACCAGAAGUCAUUAGCUUAACCUUCGGGAUGGCGAUGACCACGGUGUGGUUCAUGACUGGGGUGAA
rnacentral:rRNA from 1 species